rnacentral:rRNA from 1 species
UAAGGAACCUGCCCUGUAGACCGGAAUAACCAUGGGAAACUGUGGCUAAUGCCGGAUGAUCUCCGCAGCCCGCAUGGGUUGCAGAGGAAAUGGUCAGCCGCUACAGGAUGGCCUCGCGGCCUAUCAGCUUGUUGGCGGGGUAACGCCCACCAAGGCGACGACGGGUANCUGGCGUGAGAGCGCGACCAGCCACACUGGGACUGAGACACCGGCCCAGACCUCGUACGGGGA